AAUUUUGUGAGUCGUGAUUUGUGAGACAUGAUGAAAAGAUAUUUACGCGAUCGGAAAUUCUACGACUCACUACUCACAAAAUUACGCAUCGUUUGGCUUCACCCUAAGUAAAUUCAAACGACAGAAGCGACUGAGAGCUGUUUACUGAAAUAUUAUGAGAUAUGGACAAUGUUAACAUUUACAUUUAUUUUUUGAAUAGGUAAAGUUUUACUGUGACCUACACUUCGAAUAAAAUCUGCUCGUAGAUAAGAAUUAACAUCCCGAUAAUGUGAUUAACAGUCAAGAUGAAUAAUAGCUGUUGUACCGACUAAAAACUGUUAGGCUGAUAUAAUAUUUUUGUUGUUUUUAGCAAAUGGCUAGCGACUGCAGUCGCACAAAUACUGCGUUUGUAAACUGUCAGUGGAUUAACUAUUUCUGUGAGCAUAAAUUUUUAAUGUGCCUAAUAAAUGUGAUUAAAAAUAAAA